rnacentral:rRNA from 1 species
CAUAUGGAUUCCUACGGGAGGCAGCAGUGGGGAAUUUUGGACAAUGGACGAAAGUCUGAUCCAGCGACGCCGCGUGAAGGACGAAGGUUUUCGGAUCGUAAACUUCUUUUGCAGGGGACGAACAUCCGCAAGGAUUUGACGGUACUCUGCGAAUAAGCCACGGCUAACUACGUGCCAGCAGCCGCGGUAAUACGUAGGUGGCGAGCGUUACUCGGAAUUACUAGGCGUAAAGCGCGUGUAGGCGGGAGCUUAAGUUCGCUGUUAAAUCUCAUAGCUUAACUAUGAAAUGCCGGCGAAUACUGGGCUUCUUGAAUUCGGUAGAGGUAACUGGAAUUCCAGGUGUAGCGGUGAAAUGCGUAGAUAUCUGGAAGAACGCCAAAGGCGAAGGCAGGUUACUGGGCCGCAAUUGACGCUGAGACGCGAAAGCUAGGGGAGCAAACAGGAUUAGAUACCCUGGUAGUCCUAGCUGUAAACGAUGUAGACCAGGUGUGGGAGGUAUCGACCCCUUCCGUGCCGACGCUAACGCAUUAAGUCUACCGCCUGGGGAGUACGGCCGCAAGGUUAAAACUCAAAGGAAUUGACGGGGGCCCGCACAAGCGGUGGAUCAUGUGGUUUAAUUCGACGCUACGCGAAGAACCUUACCUGGGCUCGAACGACUAGUAGUAGCUCUUAUGAAAGUGAGAGCGAUUCGCAAGAAAGCUAGCCGAGGUGCUGCAUGGCUGUCGUCAGCUCGUGUCGUGAGAUGUUGGGUUAAGUCCCGCAACGAGCGCAACCCUUGUCCUGUGUUGCCAUCAUUCAGUUGGGCACUCUCAGGGGACCGCCAGCGAUAAGUUGGAGGAAGAU